GCCUCCUGUGAUCAGUUAGACUUCUCUGGGGAAUGAAACAGCUGCUGAUUAGGGACUGACUUCCUCAGUCACAAGUGUGUCAGCUCAGAGGAGGGGCCAGCCAGAAGGUGGUUUGGAGGCAGAGCUGCCCCUGAAUGAGCCAUGGAGAUGAUCUGCUCCCUCAUCCAUCUCUCCCUCUUCUGGGCAGGAGUCAUGUCAGCCACUGAGUUGGUGCCUGAACACCAAACAGUGACUGUGUCAUUGGGGGACCCUGCUACCCUCAGGUGCUCCAUGAAAGGAGAAGCGAUCACUAACUAUUACAUCAACUGGUAUAGGAAGACCCAAGGUAACACGAUGACUUUCAUAUACCGAGAAAAGGACAUCUAUGGCCCUGGUUUCAAGGACGGUUUCCAAGGUGAAAUUGAUACUGAAAAGGACCAGGCUGUACUUAAGAUUCUUGCAGCAUCAGAGACAGAUGAAGGGUCUUACUACUGUGCCAGUGACUACCACCCUGCUGCAGCUCUACUUCUGAGCAGCUCAAAAACCAUUGCCACAGAUAAACUCAUCUUUGGAAAAGGAACCCGUGUGACUGUGGAACCAAAAAUUCAACCUCCUACCAAACCAUCCGUUUUCGUCAUGAAAAAUGGAACAAAUGUUGCUUGUCUGGUGAAGGACUUCUACCCCAAGGAUAUAAGUAUAAAUCUCAAGUCAUCCAAGAAGAUAACAGAGUUUGAUCCUGCUAUUGUCGUCUCUCCCAGUGGGAAGUACAAUGCUGUCAAGCUUGGUCAAUAUGAAGAUUCAAAUUCAGUGACGUGUUCAGUUCAACACAGCAAUACCAUUGUGUACUCCACUGACUUUGAAUUGGAGAAAAAUUCUUCAGAUAACCUAACACCAAUGGAAACUGAAAACACAAAGCAAUCUUCAAAGAGCUGCCACGAACCCAAAGUUCAUGCCGAGAAGGUGAACAUGAUGUCCCUCACAGUGCUGGAGCUACGAAUGCUGUUGGCAAAGAGUGUCGCCAUCAAUUUUCUCUUGACUGCCAAGUUAUUUUUCUUCUGAGGUAAGAAUUAGCCCCUUCUUAUUCCUAUCUCUACCCACACUACGCUGCACAUGGGGAAAAGAGGUUUAGAAAUUGUAAGAAACCAAGAAGCAUUGGAAAGGGAAACUAGAGACCUAUUUAGAAUUAGUAAAGUGGGCUAUCUCAGAUACUCAGCAAAAUGCACUCCAUCUCCUGUUAUCCUUUCAUUUUAAGUCAGACUGAAAUCAGUUAGGUAGUAUAAUAUACUAUUUUUCUAACAUACCAGAUAAUAACCCUUACCUUCA